rnacentral:rRNA from 1 species
AGUGGCGAACGGGUGAGUAACACGUGGGCAAUCUGCCCUGCACUCUGGGACAAGCCCUGGAAACGGGGUCUAAUACCGGAUAUUGACCUUCACGGGCAUCUGUGAGGUUCGAAAGCUCCGGCGGUGCAGGAUGAGCCCGCGGCCUAUCAGCUUGUUGGUGAGGUAAUGGCUCACCAAGGCGACGACGGGUAGCCGGCCUGAGAGGGCGACCGGCCACACUGGGACUGAGACACGGCCCAGACUCCUACGGGAGGCAGCAGUGGGGAAUAUUGCACAAUGGGCGAAAGCCUGAUGCAGCGACGCCGCGUGAGGGAUGACGGCCUUCGGGUUGUAAACCUCUUUCAGCAGGGAAGAAGCGAAAGUGACGGUACCUGCAGAAGAAGCGCCGGCUAACUACGUGCCAGCAGCCGCGGUAAUACGUAGGGCGCAAGCGUUGUCCGGAAUUAUUGGGCGUAAAGAGCUCGUAGGCGGCUUGUCACGUC